GAUGAAUCAAAGAAGGUAAUAAUCCUGUAGUCGAAAAUGUUGUCUCUCUUGAGUGGAUCCUGAGUACGACGGAGCACGUGAAAUUCCGUCGGAAUCUGGGAGGACCAUCUCCUAAGGCUAAAUACUCUCUAGUGACCGAUAGUGAACCAGUACCGUGAGGGAAAGGUGAAAAGCACCCCGGAAGGGGAGUGAAAUAGAACCUGAAACCGUGUGCUUACAAGUAGUCAGAGCCCGUUAAUGGGUGAUGGCGUGCCUUUUGUAGAAUGAACCGGCGAGUUACGAUUUGAUGCAAGGUUAAGCAGUAAAUGUGGAGCCGUAGCGAAAGCGAGUCUGAAUAGGGCGUUUAGUAUUUGGUCGUAGACCCGAAACCAGGUGAUCUACCCUUGGUCAGGUUGAAGUUCAGGUAACACUGAAUGGAGGACCGAACCGACUUACGUUGAAAAGUGAGCGGAUGAACUGAGGGUAGCGGAGAAAUUCCAAUCGAACCUGGAGAUAGCUGGUUCUCUCCGAAAUAGCUUUAGGGCUAGCCUCAAGUGAUGAUUAUUGGAGGUAGAGCACUGUUUGGACGAGGGGCCCCUCUCGGGUUACCGAAUUCAGACAAACUCCGAAUGCCAAUUAAUUUAACUUGGGAGUC
rnacentral:rRNA from 1 species